rnacentral:lncRNA from 1 species
CUAAGUCAAAUUCACAUGAUACAAACAAACGUUCCCACUAGGGAUCCGGCAUGAGGCUGUGUUUUUCUAGGUUUAAAUCCUGGGGUUUUGGUCUAGACUUGGGGCACCCGAGUGGACAACUGGGGCUGAGGAGGGGGCGACGUACUGGGAGCACGGAAGUCUACUCGGCCUUGUCUCUUGCCCAGCCUCGUUCUAUUUGGUAAAAUUUAUACAGAAAAAGCGGGCCACGCAAACGUGUGCACCAUUUUCAGAAGACUCGGAGAGGUGGUGUAAUAAAACAUUUAUAUACAAUUCAAACAAUAAUAAAGCAGUAAACAAAUAACAUUUAGCACAAAAGAUUCACAGAAUAUAGUAAUAUUAACAAUAAAUGAAACCAAGUAAAAAUCAUUAACAAGCUCGAAUUCUUGAACCCUGAACCAGAGAUUCUGGGUUCGAUCCCCAGCAGAGUCGCCAGAGCUGUCACGCCUCCUUUUUACCUACACCCCUGGAAAGGUAUAAAUAUAAGCAAGUUUUUCCAAUUAAAGGACAAUCGAAACGGGAUUUGUUUAAAGAUUCAGAGUCUCCACUUGGGAUAAUUUAUGGUGUCCCAAGUCACCGGUUUAAAAUCCCGAAUCGAGGAAGUUGACUCUAUUAUCGGUCUGCGAACACAGAAAUCUGGGUAAGGAAUUCUGUUAACUCAGGAGAAGGUGUUAGGCAUUCCCGGGUUCCGUGAUUCUAGCACGAUCGCUUUGAUCAUACUUGGCUUAAUCAAAUUGUUUAAUUACUCAAUUUUAGAUCCUACGUGCAUUAGCCGCUUUUAAUUAGGAAGUUAUCUUGAAACAGGUCACGCGUACGUGUACCUAUUUGUUUGGCGUGUCAAAAAUCAUGUCACGCGAACGUGUCCACAAUUAAUAAUGCUUUGUUAUUAGUAAGAAAGUUUGGCCGAAGUUGCACGAACGCAUACCUCAAUUUAUUUUGGGCAUCUAAAUCUAGGUGUAGCAAAUCAAAUCGAAGUAACAAAUAAUGACAACAGAAAUCUUAUAGGCUAUAACCAAUAGCAAAUUCACAUAGCGUUAAGUACACUAAAACUAUCCAAAUUAGUAGAACAGUUGAAAUCUAAUAUACAAAAAAAUAAAAAAUAAAACAAAGAAAAGACAAUACCACAUAGACGGGAUUAGAAAAAGGAAGAAAAAGAUAUGAUAUCAAUUAGUUAGUAAAUAAAACGCACAAACCUUUCCAGGGAAUCAAAUUGGUUUAAUUUGAAAUUUGCAAUAGCUUUUUUCGCAAGGUGCACUACACGAACGGAGAUUAGCUUUUUACUCACUAACAGCUUGUAAUUCAACAACUAUCACGAGAAAACUGUGUGUGUGCGUGUUUUAUGUAUGUGCACAGGCAGAAGGAGAAAAGAAGGGAUUUUUCGAAGAAGAGAAGAAGCCAUGGUUGCUAAUCUUUUUUUAGUCUCCUCUAGGUCUACUCAUUGAAUUCUUUUUUACACAAAAUGGUCUUGCAUUUGCAUCAAGUCUAAUUUCAACAAAAUUUCAGCAAUAACAUAUUUGCAUUCAUCAUAUAGAACACAAAGGUGAAGGAUAUGGACCUCAAAGUGGAUCUCCAACAGAAAUGGAACGAGCCGUUGAUGACCAAAACAGUGGUCGGAAGCCUCGACGGAACUACGACCUAUAUCCUAAAGCUAGCCGGGAACGUGAAACAACAUUCAACGACGGACCUCGCAUCGGCAACCAAAAUCAGCAGACUUUUGGACCUCAAACAAACACCAUGAUUUUGAAUCCAAACCCCAAAUCAAAUGAAGAAGAAAAAAACCAGAAGCUCUUUUAUAUAUGUACACAUAUAUUUUUCAGUUUCUUCUGCAUUUUUUUUUUGGUUUCUUUCUUCUUUAUCCCCUGUAUUUAUGUAUGUGUGUGCGUUGCUGAGCAGUGACGGACGAAGAAGAAGAAGCAGCAAUGAGUGGCCGAGGCUCUGGUUCGAUUUUCGGCUUGGUGAGGUCGUUUGCUUGGUGAGGCAAUGACGUUGGGGUGGAGCUUAUUUCAUGGCUGUUGCGGCUGAAACUCCAUUGGAGCUCUAUGUUAUUAUUUCAUUCCCUAUUUUGUUUGUCAAGUGAAAAGGAACUCACACACACAAGAUUGAACUCGAAAGAAGAAGAGGACGGCAGGGAAGGGUCUGUUUGUUUUGGUCUUGAGAACGAGGAAGAAACCCGACGUCGAUGGGGAAGGUCGUUUGGUUCCCGGAGAAACAGAAUGGUGGGGAAGGAUCUAUUGAUGUUUGUGGUUGGGUCUUUGAGAGGAUGGGGUGUAUGGAAGGAGAUGGAAAGCCAGGGGGUGGGGGUGCUUGAAGAAGACGACGCGGGGGUGGGGGUCGUUUUUGUCUGCGCAGCCCUGCGUAUUUUCUCCUUUUUGUUAUCCUCUUU